rnacentral:rRNA from 1 species
UACAGAGGGGGCAAGCGUUAUUCGGAAUUAUUGGGCGUAAAGGGCGCGUAGGCGGCUUUUCAAGUGACGGGUGAAAGCCCUCGGCUUAACCGAGGAACUGCCUGUCAGACUGGAAGGCUUGAGACCGGGGAGAGGUGAGUGGAAUUCCCAGUGUAGCGGUGAAAUGCGUAGAUAUUGGGAGGAACACCAGUGGCGAAGGCGGCUCACUGGACCGGAACUGACGCUGAGGCGCGAAAGCGUGGGGAGCAAACAGG